CCACAGUCUGAGACUGGAAGCCACUUGAUGGGGAAAACCAAAGAUCUAUGUCCUGUAACAAAUAGUCACACAAACACGAAAAAUGAUUUGUUUAUUGUUUGCCACUGCCUUUAAACCUGCUGUUAUUUAUGAUGACAAAAGUUUGGCUAAAUGCUAGGUACACAAAUAAGCUAUCUAAGGCAGUGCCAAAUGUGGAAGUGUUGGGCAACUCACACUUGACUGAUGGGGAGGACUCUUGUGUAAGCAUGCUAUCCAUGCUAAAGGGCUUGAAGCAGCUUAGAGAAUAUACAAAUAUGUGCACUUCAAGUAGCUGAGAUGUUACAUACUGGUGUAUAGUGCAGAGGAUCUCAGGUUCAAACCCAGGUCAGUUCUCUGAGUUUUUUACAUUUCAUAAUACUGUCUCUAUUGUAUAGUCAAUAAAGAUAAUUAUAACACUAUGUUUUGAAGCUAAUAAGGUGGAAAUAUUGUUAUCAGAUGAAUUAAAAGAAGUGUCAGUUA